rnacentral:rRNA from 1 species
UAGGGAAUAUUGGUCAAUGGGUGAGAGCCUGAUGCAGCGACGCCGCGUGGGUGAAGAAGGUUUUCGGAUCGUAAAACCCUUUUCUGUGUGACGAGAACGGACGGUAGCACAGGAAUAGGUCUCGGCUAACUACGUGCCAGCAGCCGCGGUAAAACGUAGGAGACAAACGUUAUCCGGAGUUACUGGGCGUAAAGGGCGUGCAGGCGGCAGUCUAAGUCUGGCGUGAAAUAUCCCGGCUCAACCGGGGAAGGUCGUCGGAUACUGGGCAGCUAGAGGACGGUAGAGGCGUGUGGAAUUCCGGGUGUAGUGGUGAAAUGCGUAGAGAUCCGGAGGAACACCAGUGGCGAAGGCGACACGCUGGGCCGUACCUGACGCUAAGACGCGACAGCAUGGGGAGCAAACAGGAUUAGAUACCCAGGUAGUCCCUGAGCGGGCUGGCAAGGCGCAU